rnacentral:lncRNA from 1 species
UUAUAUAUCCCUUUAAACUUAUCAGAUACCACGUAACACAUAAGCAUGCUUUGACUCUAACAUAUAGUCAAUCAUAUUCCACAUAACAUAUCACCAAUCAAUUAUCAUAUAAAUCCUUAUCGAAAAUCCGACAUCGUCUCGUCUAUGUAUAAGACUAUCCACCUGUUAUCCUAUCUCAAUCAUUAAUCAACCAACAAAAACCAAUAACUAUAAUCCAUAUAUUCUUAUCCAAUAUCAAUCAUACGAAUCAUUUAUCACUUCACAAUAUCAAAACUAACACGUACUUCACAUAAUCAUCACUUGAUAGCACUUAGAUCACAUAUUAUCACAUUAUGCAUACUUAUCAACAAUUAUUCACCUUAUAGACUCAGCCAUAUAGUCACAUCAUAUUAAAAUAGACGUUAUAAGCUUCUGUCUCUCUUUCGUUUCACUUGAUUCCGACUUACGGAUCAAAAGUUAUGCUCAAAACAGUUUUC